GCCGGGUAUGGUAGCGCAUGUCUGUAAUCCCAGCUACUCAGGAGGCUGAGGCAGGAGAAUCACUUGAACCUGGGAGGCGGAGUUUGCAGUGAGCCGAGAUAGUGUCACUGCACUCCAGCCUAGGUGACAGAGUGAGACUCUGUCUCAA
ensembl:misc_RNA Metazoa_SRP Metazoan signal recognition particle RNA